GGGGCCGGGCCGGGCCGCUGGGUGGCGUCUGGGUGCCGCGGGCUGCUGCUGCGUUUGCUCCGCGUUUGGCAACGCCCAGCAGGAGCGCAGGGGUGCCGGGGCGGCGGGCCGGGCCGGGCCGUGGGGAGCGGGUCAGCCGCCGCUGCCGGGCCGCCCCUCUUCCGGUCGAAGUGCCGCGCUGCAGCCGGGGGCCGAGGGAUGGACCGCGAGCAGGAGGAGGAGCGGGAGCGGGACCGUGGCCGGGAGCGGGACGCGGCCGGCCGGGCCCUUGGCCGGGCGCAGCUGGCGCAAAUAAAGGAGCACGAGCAUCAGGCAGAACUAGCCAAGCUAGAAGACAAAAGAGAAGGAGAAGAAAUUCAGAGACUGACUCGGUUGUACCAAUUGGAAAUUCAGAGAGGAAAGGAAAAGGAGCAGGCAGAAAAACUUGAACGCCGGAGGCUGCAUUAUGAGCAUAUCGCUGAACAGAAAAUAAUUAAAGCUGAAGAGGAACAAAAGGAAGAGGAAGAAGAUGAUCGGAUUAGGGCUUACAUUAAAGGAAAAGAAAUGAUGGCAGAUCUGAGAAAAGAAAAAGAUGAAGAAACUAGUAGACUAAUGCAGGAACGUCAGGACAAAGCUGUUAAACAAUUAACUGCAGAGAUGAAGGAGGCAUUUAAGAUGGAAGAUGAUCGUAUUGCUAGAGGAGCUGCAGAUAUAGAAGAAGAAUACCAAAAGAAAAACAAAGAAAAAGAAGCAAAAACUAAGGCUAACAUUGAAUCUAUUUCUGAACAUAGAGCCUCUGUGAUGAAGAUGAAAGUGGAAAAGGAGAAAGAGGAAAAAGCAGAAGCUGAGAAAGAUUAUAAUCAUUGGAUGGCAGCAGAUCGCGUCUACUUGGAAAUGGAAAAAGCCAAAGAACAACGACGUCGUGAUGAAAAUAUGGAAGUCCAGAAAAUUCGAGUCCAGCAAAUGGCUGAAAAGCAGGCAAGAAAAGAGCAAGAAAAACAAGCAGACUUGGACUACGAUUCUCAGAGAGAAGCUGCCUUUUUUAAGGAGCGAGAAUUUCAGAGAUGAGGACAUGCUCCUUUUACUACUUCAAGCUUUUUUCAGCAAGCAGAAAGAAUGAAACUUUUAUUAAAGGCUUUUUAUGGCAGAAGCUGGAGUCUUGAGAAGAAGCAUUUACUACAGCAAGUGUCAUGCUGAAAUCCCCUGAGCUUGAUAAUGCUCCAGAUGCGUUCCCAAGUGCACAUCUGCACAUGCUCACUGUAGUGCGAUUGAAAUACAGCUGACAAGUCCAGAAGCAUCAUUUAAGCAUCACCUUACAACCUGUAUGAGCCUGCAAGACAUCAGUGCCUAACAGCUGAAGCCAACUCUGAAACACUUAAGACGCAAUGUUCACCAGAAUUUGCCUGUGCUCUGUUUCAGCUCAGGAACAAGGGCCAUAGCUAUAGCUUGCAACAAGCAAUUGCACCUCUAAUUACUCUAGCUUUAUUAUGGAACAAAACAGUAGAUUCACUUUCUAGGAAGUCAAGAGAUGACAACCAAAGGUAAACUUGUAUGCCGUCAUCUGUACUAUGUUCUUUAAUAUUCAGUAGUGCUGGGCCUGAAGGCUUAUUUAAAAGUUGUUUUGGCUCCAAAAGAUAUUACUAAGCAAAUAAAACUGAGUAAGCUCUUUAAAAACA